CUUAAGCAUAUCAAUAAGCGGAGGAAAAGAAACCAACAGGGAUUGCCCUAGUAACGGCGAGUGAAGCGGCAACAGCUCAAAUUUGAAAUCUGGCGCAAGCCCGAGUUGUAAUUUGUAGAGGAUGCUUCUAGGUAGCGACCGGUCUAAGUUCCUUGGAACAGGACGUCAUAGAGGGUGAGAAUCCCGUAUGUGACCGGCCCGCACCUUCCACGUAGCUCCUUCGAAGAGUCGAGUUGUUUGGGAAUGCAGCUCUAAAUGGGAGGUAAAUUUCUUCUAAAGCUAAAUACCGGCCAGAGACCGAUAGCGCACAAGUAGAGUGAUCGAAAGAUGAAAAGCACUUUGGAAAGAGAGUUAAAAAGCACGUGAAAUUGUUGAAAGGGAAGCGCUUACAACCAGACUUUGGGGCGGUGUUCCGCCGGUCUUCUGACCGGUCUACUCUCCGUCCCGAGGCCAACAUCAUCUGGGACCGCCGGAUAAGACCUCAGGAAUGUAGCUCCCCUCGGGGAGUGUUAUAGCCUGCGGUGAUGCGGCGCGUCUCGGGUGAGGUCCGCGCUUCGGCAAGGAUGUUGGCGUAAUGGUUGUCAGCGGCCCGUCUUGAAACACGGACCAAGGAGUCUAACAUCUAUGCGAGUGUUCGGGUGUCAAACCCCUACGCGUAAUGAAAGUGAACGGAGGUGGGAAGCGCAAGCUGCACCAUCGACCGAUCCUGAUGUCCUCGGAUGGAUUUGAGUAAGAGCAUAGCUGUUGGGACCCGAAAGAUGGUGAACUAUGCCUGAAUAGGGUGAAGCCAGAGGAAACUCUGGUGGAGGCUCGCAGCGGUUCUGACGUGCAAAUCGAUCGUCAAAUUUGGGUAUAGGGGCGAAAGACUAAUCGAACCAU
rnacentral:rRNA from 1 species